CCCGUCCAAAGAGCUAAACCUGGCGGGAGAGACGCAACUGACACUUGUUGAAUUUAAACAAGCGGCUGGGAGUGAUCCGCCAAGUACUCCACAGACUGGUUCUACCCACUCCGUCCCAGGAAGGAAUUGGAGGUCUGAAACAUCUCAGCCUAAUUGGAAUCAUCCUUUCAAAAGAUUAAAACCAUCACACGAGUUCUGCAAAUGGCAUCCUAGAGAUCCUCUGGUUGACUUUCUGCUUUUUGUUUCUGGUUGGAGCACAUCCCCAGACUGCUAUUCUGAGCCACCUUGUCCAGUGGAGAAGACGCCAUGGCCAGGCUGGCGUGUGAGCUGGACGCUUUUCCACAUCCAUGUCUCUGGACUUGUUCAGCCUCAGGUCGCUCCUAAGCGGGGAAAUUCCAGCUUUGCCUAUCUGUGUUUUGGUGAUAUGAACUACUGUCUACCUGUGUGGGGCUGAGAUCAGAAAAGUCCUUUCACUGGCAAUACAAUUUGGAUGGGAACCAAGGUCAUCAGGUAAAUCGCCAGUGCUUUAUCCUCCCAGCCAAGCCCUUGAUAAGGGUGCUCUUUGAUGUGGAGAACCAUGGUUGGCUGUUUGAGAACUUACAUCCAACACACCGAUACAUAAUGCAUUUGCUUCCAUCACACAGCUGCUGACACACGGUUGCAGGUUAAUUUAAAGAUUACUUAAUGACAAGAGCUACUUUAAAUUAACCAAAUGCUUCAGAAAGCAAAAAUGGUCCUCCACUGACAAAAAAAUAAAAAUCGCCAGCAAAUACACCUUCCGUUUUCAACUUCUGCCCAUCAAUUCAUUACAUCUCUUCUUUUAAUACAAGCCAGCGGCUGGCUGGUAGGAUCCCUCUCACUAACGGUGCCUCUCUCUUCGUGGUCUCAUCAUGAUUAAAUUAUUUACAGUACACAGCGCCCCUUCUACAAGGUGUAAAGAGUUGUGCUGAUACACAGGAUGAUUCUAUCUGCUAUAUUGAUAAUAAGUGGCUUCCACCCUGGUGCCUAAAUGCUACGGAAAGCUGUUUGUUCUUUUCACUGCCUUUGGUUCUGAAGAUGAUGUCUCUUCUUUGCUUACCUGAGCAACAUCAACAUAAAGCAUAUAAUGCAUUCGCUUUUCAUGGGCUUUUAUUAGACACUUGACCAAGUAUGCCUAAUACCCACAACUUCUGCAGUUUUUACUUGAUAAAAUCACGGCUUCAUCUGAGCAUCCUAGUAACUGGAUUCUUUGUUUCUCCCGUGACACCUGGUUUUGUUGUGCCACAUCCUCCACGGAUUCCAGGAGAUGUUGGAAAGAGAACAAUAACAUAAAAAUGGGAGUGAGGGAUCUGAAGGAAGUGGUAAGUGACAUCAAAAUAGGUGCCAAAUUGGUACCAACAUCAGAGGCUGAAAUCUCACAGCUGGAGUUGGAGCAGCUAUGACUUAAAUCCAGUCGUUGGUUUGAAAACCCUGCCUUUAACCACUAUUCUAUGAGCAACCAACCAUCAUCCAAUGGAAAGGAAGGUCCUAGAAGGACACAUCCUCUGUUUUUACUAAAUAUGAGUGUUUAAAAGCACAGAUUGUAAAGCCCAACUGCCUGGGUUCAAGUCUUUUACUAAUUUUAUGAUGUGGGACGAUUUAACCUGUGAGCUUCCUCAUCUGAAAAAUGGGAAUGAUAAUAAUCCCUCUGUCAAAGAAACGUUGGUAGGAUCAGAUGAGCAGCUAUGUAAAAACGCAUGAUCAAGACUUGUUUUCUGCCCUGGCCAGUUUGGCUCAGCAGUAGAACGUG